UACGGGGGGGGCAAGCGUUGUUCGGAAUUACUGGGCGUAAAGGGCUCGUAGGCGGCCAACUAAGUCAUACGUGAAAUCCCUCGGCUUAACCGGGGAACUGCGUCUGAUACUGGAUGGCUUGAGAUUGGGAGAGGGAUGCGGAAUUCCAGGUGUAGCGGUGAAAUGCGUAGAUAUCAGGAGGAACACCGAUGGCGAAGGCAGGUCUCUGGGCCACUACUGACGCUGAGAAGCGAAAGCAUGGGGAGCGAACAGG
rnacentral:rRNA from 1 species